GCCAGGCACAGUGGUGCAUGCCUGUAAUCCUAGCAGCUUGGGAGGCUGAGGCAGGAGGAUCACGAGUUCAAAGCCAACCUCAGCAACUUAGCAAGACCCAGUAUCUA
rnacentral:sRNA from 1 species